rnacentral:rRNA from 1 species
UGCUAGUCGAACGCGUCAAAGACGAGUGGCGAACGGGUGAGUAAAACAAAGGAAUCUACUUCAUAGUUUGGUUAAAUGCCUUAUAUCAAAAGAAUUUUCGCUAUGAAAUGAGCCUUUGUAGGAUUAGGUAGUUGGUGAGAUAAAAGCUUACCAAGCCGAUGAUCCUUAAUUGGUCUGAGAGGAUGUACAAUCACACUAGAACUGAGACAAGGUCUAGACAUCUACGGAUGGCAGCAGUGGGGAAUCUUGAACAAUGGGCGAAAGCCUGAUUCAGCGAUAUAGAGUGAAUGAUGAAAGCCAUUUGGUUGUAAAGUUCUUUUACCAAGGAAGAUUUUGACAUUACUUGGAGAAAAAGCCCUGGCAAAUUUCGUGCCAGCAGCCGCGGUGAUACGAAAAGGGCUAGUGUUAUUCGGGAUAAUUGGGCGUAAAGGGUGAGUAGGCUGUAAUCAUAGUUAAUUUUUAAAUCUUAGUAGUAAUUACUAAAUCAAUUUUUAAUAACAAAUUACUAGAGUAAAAGAGAGGAUUGUAGAAUUUCAAGUGGAGAAAUAAAAUUCGUAGAUUUUUGAAGGAAUAUCGAAAGCGAAGGCAACAAUCUGGCUUUAUACUGACGCUGAUUCACGAAAGCCUAGGUAGCAACCAGGAUUAGAGACCCUGUUAGUCUAGGCUGUAAACGAUGAGCACUCAUUUUUGGAUAAAACGU